GGAGCAACAGCACGCAAAACAGAUCCGAGCAUUUCAACAGUGUCCGUCAGUACGCAAAAUUACAAGUGCAAUCGUCCUAAUUUUUUCCACGUCGCACAAUUCAAGAUGUUGCAUUAUAUUUGUGUUUUCUUCUACACCUCAAUGCUCAUCGUAAUGAGAAUAAAGAUGGUUGUAUCAGAUACAGAAAAUAUACUGAUGAACAAAGAAAAUGUAAGCACGUAUAUAUCGGAGCAACCAGAGUUUGUGGCUCAACCAUACGGUGGCCCAGGAUCAUCUCUCGGUAUAACUUACGAUAAAAAAAUUCUAGCCGACAGCUCUGCUCGAAAAUUGUUGAAGACAUUGUCUCUCUCACCUGCGUUUGCAAAAUUUGGAAUGGCCCCAGCGACGGAAUCUAAAUCCAAACCUCUACCUGAGCCAGAAAAAUCAACCAAACCAUUUCGAAUAUCUUUUCCAUUUUGUCAAAACCUAUACCUUCUGUUCCACCUACUCCAUUACCACCUCCUGAGCAGCCUCCUGAAAAGUCAGCAACGCCUAGCAAAGAAAAUUCAGUCAUUCCUCUUGAGCCACAACCGGUUGUAAAGCCAUCCUCUCCAUCUCUUGCACCUCAGACAACUUCAUCGGGCGGAUCUUCAGCAAUAUCUUCAACAUCUUCUCCUAAUGGUGCCGAGAAGUCUCCUUCCCAGUCCAACCUUCCUGUAAGCUCUUCAAGUUCAAGACCAUUUAAGCCGCUUAAAUGGAACUUUAUUCCCUGGUUAAAGGCAACGAAGAAGCCAAGCUCAUCGGUAGCACCUGAACCUCAAAAUCCUCAGGGUACUACCGCUUCCACUCCACCGAACAAGUCAGUAUCUGCAAGUUCAUCAUUUAAGACAGACGAAUCAUUAAAUGGAUCCGAAAGAUUUGCAGAGGCCAAGCUACAAGUAUCCCCUGUAUUACAAAAAUUUUUAAACAACAACAGCAGGUACAGGCAAACAAACCCUCACCCUCCACAGCAGAAACUCCACUGAAAUUGGAUACCCAGCCAGCGCAUAACAAUGCAUCGCCAAACUUUCAAGUAUCCAGUGUUGCGUCAUCUUCUGAAUCAAUAACACCCUCAACAGCAGAGCUUCAGAAACAACCAGCUGCCGACCAUUUAGAAACCCCGCCGCUUCCCCAUCAAAAAGUAAACCCGACUUCACCUUCCCAAGCCGUUGUCUCCGGAGCAACAAGCCAAAGCUCCAGUGAAGGUUUCAGUUCGUCGUCAAAACUCAUCUCACCCGAACGGAAAGGUACCGCUUACACCGCGGCAACACCUGAGCCCGCACCUUUAAAGUCUCCGAAUACUUCAUCAUUAGCAUCCGAGUCCGUUACGCCAGCUGUGUCACCACUACCCUCUCAGUCUA
rnacentral:lncRNA from 1 species